rnacentral:rRNA from 1 species
AGUUUGAUCCUGGCUCAGGAUGAACGCUAGCUACAGGCUUAACACAUGCAAAUCGAGGGGAAACGACAUCGAAAGCUUGCUUUCGAUGGGCGUCGACCGGCGCACGGGUGAGUAACGCGUAUCCAACCUGCCCAUCACUUGGGGAUAACCUUGCGAAAGUAAGACUAAUACCCAAUGACGUCUCUAGAAGACAUCUGAAGGAGAUUAAAGAUUUAUCGGUGAUGGAUGGGGAUGCGUCUGAUUAGCUUGUUGGCGGGGUAACGGCCCACCAAGGCGACGAUCAGUAGGGGUUCUGAGAGGAAGGUCCCCCACAUUGGAACUGAGACACGGUCCAAACUCCUACGGGAGGCAGCAGUGAGGAAUAUUGGUCAAUGGACGAGAGCCUGAACCAGCCAAGUAGCGUGCAGGAUGACGGCCCUAUGGGUUGUAAACUGCUUUUAUAAGGGAAUAAAGUGAGUCUCGUGAGACUUUUUGCAUGUACCUUAUGAAUAAGGACCGGCUAAUUCCGUGCCAGCAGCCGCGGUAAUACGGAAGGUCCGGGCGUUAUCCGGAUUUAUUGGGUUUAAAGGGAGCGUAGGCCGGAGAUUAAGCGUGUUGUGAAAUGUAGACGCUCAACGUCUGCACUGCAGCGCGAACUGGUUUCCUUGAGUACGCACAAAGUGGGCGGAAUUCGUGGUGUAGCGGUGAAAUGCUUAGAUAUCACGAAGAACUCCGAUUGCGAAGGCAGCUCACUGGAGCGCAACUGACGCUGAAGCUCGAAAGUGCGGGUAUCGAACAGGAUUAGAUACCCUGGUAGUCCGCACGGUAAACGAUGGAUGCCCGCUGUUGGUCUGAAUAGGUCAGCGGCCAAGCGAAAGCAUUAAGCAUCCCACCUGGGGAGUACGCCGGCAACGGUGAAACUCAAAGGAAUUGACG